rnacentral:tRNA from 1 species
GGGGCGGUAGUCUAGCCCGGCUAUGAUGUCUCGCUUACACCGAGAAACCAUUGAAGCUCUUUGCUCUUUGGACUCGAGGGUCGCUGGUUCAAAUCCGGCCCGCCCCA